UAGUACAGUAAUAUAGUGGACGACAUGAGUUUUUUCUUUUCAAUUAUUUUAUUCAUUCGGUUGAAGUUUUAUUUCACUGCCCUCAACGAUUUCUAAUGU